AGUAACACGUGGAUAACCUGCCCUCAGGUCUGGAAUAACCCCGGGAAACUGGGGAUAAUACCGGAUAACGCAUAUAUGCUGGAAUGCUUUCUGCGUCAAAGGUCCGCCGCCUGAGGAUGGGUCUGCGGCCUAUCAGGUAGUAGCGGGUGUAAUGUACCUGCUAGCCGACGACGGGUACGGGUUGUGAGAGCAAGAGCCCGGAGAUGGAUUCUGAGACAUGAAUCCAGGCCCUACGGGGCGCAGCAGGCGCGAAAACUUUACAAUGCGGGCAACCGUGAUAAGGGGACACCGAGUGCCAGCAACAUUUGCUGGCUGUCCAGGUGCGUACAAUGCACCUGUUAGCAAGGGCCGGGCAAGACCGGUGCCAGCCGCCGCGGUAACACCGGCGGCCCGAGUGGUGAUCGUUAUUAUUGGGUCUAAAGGGUCCGUAGCCGGUUUGGUCAGUCCUCCGGGAAAUCUGUCAGCUCAACUGAUAGGCUAUCGGGGGAUACUGCCAGACUUGGAACCGGGAGAGG
rnacentral:rRNA from 1 species